ensembl:snRNA
AUGCUCAUAUGAAAGGAGAGAAGGUAAGCACUCCCCUUGACAUGGAUAGAAGAGGCCCUCUAGCCUGACAACACACACAAGGUUAAGACAUUGCCACCUACUUUGUGGCAUCUAACCACUGUUUAUU